GGGUGGAGUCAGAACGACAUCACAGUAGGAGGAGUCUGCUGGGGGCAGGACUUUCUCUACAGUAACUUCAUUUGGCUGAAAGUAUUUGGAGGAGAAGCAUCUCAGGGGGAAUGUAGGAGAAACAUUUUUCUUCUCUCUUUUUAUUUUACUUGUGUUUCUUUCUUGUUUUACUUAUAAAUGUAUUGUAUGCUUACUGUCAUGAUAUAUUCUGAAUCAUUUCAACUGAUGUAAGCUUCCGGUAGAGCACCUUAAAAGUGUAAUUUCUUGUUCCAGUUUAAACCACACACACACAUGGUUUCUGCACAACUGGAUUGCAGAACUAUUUGUUUUGUUAUUAUUGGAAUAUGAACAUGUACAAUGAAAUAGUAAGUAUAACCACAUUCUAAGGCGUUUUCCUCUGUUUAAGGACCACAGAACAAGUUUUAACAGAAACUAGGAAUUUAUGCUGCUCAGAUGAAGAACCACUCCUUGCAUGUCAGAAAUAACCAGUUUUGGGACUGGUUUCUGCUAAAUGUAUAAAGAUGCUUCACUGGGGCUAUGUCCCCAGACUCAACUUGUAUUGCUGWAUGCAUGUUGACUCUCAUUUUAUUGCAAUAAAAUUACUCAGAGACCAUUGUAGUGAAGAACUUUUUUGAUCAUGUAUUUCURCACUUUGCACAAGCUGAAAAUGUUUAACAGCAGAAGAGUUAUUGUGAGUUCAAACAGCUGAAAGAACAACACAAGUAGUAAUAGAAACAAGUUGAAACUAGCAGACAGACAUUUGAAUGGAGAGUAAAGAAAGCUCACAAAGAAAUUUUUUACAAAAAAGAAGUAAUUUGUUGGGGUAACAGCUAAAGUUAGCAGAAAAAUAGAUAAAAUAGUUGAAAAAUCUUUAAUUAGCAUAAAAAUGCACAAAAAUUGUCCACAGACAGAUUUUACCUCCAGGUUAGCACCAAGCAGUCCUCAAUGAACAAUGAGGUUUAAGACCUCUUCAGGGUCCAGCUGUGAGGACCACUUACUGUUUACUGACCUGUUUGAUGAAUUCAGAGCCCUGCCCCUGGAGACGUGGACCGGCUGGGACCGGCUGGCCUGGUGUGACACUGCUGCUGUAACACUUGCAGGAGUAGUAUCACUACUUCUCUCCCGCAGAGGAGAGGUGCCUCCUCUCCUGGGGGCGACUGCGUUCCCACUCCCCUGCUCACUCUCUGGUCAAGUCUUCAUCUGGGGGGUCCGUAAACGAACUGGCAAGGAGGUUCUGGUGUUUCACCAAGACUACAGAAACUGAAAGCCUUAUGGCUGAGGUCGACAAUCGGCUGAAAGCGGGGGAGAUAGAAGCGAGGUGAAAAUGAUAACACGGACGCCUCGGAGGAAGAGGCUUCACCCGAAUCUUUGUAUCAAUAAAGUGACAGAUUUUUUUUUUGUUUUUUGCUUUGCUUUUUCAAAAAAUAAAUGUUGGAAAGAUUAA